rnacentral:rRNA from 1 species
CCAGCAGCUGCGGUAAUUCCAGCUCCAAUAGCGUAUAUUUAAGUUGUUGCAGUUAAAAAGCUCGUAGUUGGAUUUCGGGUGGGGUGGUGCGGUCCGCCUCUGGUGUGCACUGCUCCGCUCCACCUUCCUGCCGGGGACGGGCUCCUGGGGCUUCACUGUCUCGGGACUCGGAGUCGGCGAUGUUACUUUGAGUAAAUUAGAGUGUUCAAAGCAGGCCUACGCUCUGAAUACAUUAGCAUGGAAUAACACGAUAGGACUCUGGCCUAUCUGUUGGUCUGUGGGACCGGAGUAAUGAUUAAGAGGGGUAGUCGGGGGCAUUCGUAUUCCGUUGUCAGAGGUGAAAUUCUUGGAUUUACGGAAGACGAACAUCUGAGAAAGCAUUUGCCAAGGAUACUUUCAUUGAUCAAG